CUGGAGGUAUCAGAAGUGCGAAUGCUGACAUAAGUAACGAUAAAGCGGGUGAAAAGCCCGCUCGCCGGAAGACCAAGGGUUCCUGUCCAACGUUAAUCGGGGCAGGGUGAGUCGACCCCUAAGGCGAGGCCGAAAGGCGUAGUCGAUGGGAAACGGGUUAAUAUUCCCGUACUUGGUGUUACUGCGAAGGGGGGACGGAGAAGGCUAUGUUGGCCGGGCGACGGUUGUCCCGGUUUAAGCGUGUAGGUGUGUGUUCCAGGUAAAUCCGGUUCACUUUAACACUGAGGCGUGAUGACGAGGCACUACGGUGCUGAAGCAACAAAUGCCCUGCUUCCAGGAAAAGCCUCUAAGCAUCAGGUAACAUCAAAUCG
rnacentral:rRNA from 2 species